rnacentral:rRNA from 1 species
UACGUAGGGGGCAAGCGUUGUCCGGAUUUAUUGGGCGUAAAGAGCGUGUAGGCGGCUUUACAGGUCCGUUGUGAAAACUCGAGGCUCAACCUCGAGACGCCGGUGGAAACCGUAAGGCUAGAGUCCGGAAGAGGAGAGUGGAAUUCCUGGUGUAGCGGUGAAAUGCGCAGAUAUCAGGAGGAACACCCGUGGCGAAAGCGGCUCUCUGGACGGUGACUGACGCUGAGACGCGAAAGCGUGGGGAGCAAACAGG